GCCAAGCAUGACGUAGUGGUUUGAGUGUUGGACUAUGACUCUGGAGACCAGGGUUCAAAUCCUGGCUCGGCC
rnacentral:tRNA from 1 species